rnacentral:rRNA from 1 species
GACGAACGCUGGCGGCGUGCUUAACACAUGCAAGUCGAACGAAGUGGCGAACGGGUGAGUAACGCGUAAUCAACCUGCCCUUCAGAGGGGGACAACAGUUGGAAACGAUUGCUAAUACCCCAUACUGAAGGUGGGGAUUGCGUCUGAUUAGCAAGUUGGAGGGUAAACGGCCCACCAAGGCGAUGAUCAGUAGCCGGUCUGAGAGGAGGAACGGCAACAUUGGGACUGAGACACGGCCCAGACUCCUACGGGAGGCAGCAGUAGGGAAUCUUCGGCAAUGGACGAAAGUCUGACCGAGCAACGCCGCGUGAGUGAAGAAGGUUUUCGGAUCGUAAAACUCUGUUGUUAGAGAAGCGGUAUCUAACCAGAAAGCCACGGCUAACUACGUGCCAGCAGCCGCGGUAAUAC